rnacentral:lncRNA from 1 species
GAGAAUAUAACCCUGAACAGGACGGAAGCUGUGUGCCUUCUUGGAACCCUCCUUCCAGCAGGGAGAGAUAAAAUGGGGUGGGGGGAGGUGAGGGGCGUACCGUAUAUCAGAGAGCAGUAACUAGUAGGCAUGAAAUAAAACAGGUUCCACACGCCCACCACCAAAAAGUCACAAGUGUGCAAAGCAGACAAAUCCCAAUCUCCUCACUUUUCUAUCGCGUAGGCCCCGCCCGCGCCCCAAGCCCCGCCCUGUCAUGGUUUUCCUCUCCAGAGGGUAGCCGCUACGCCUUACCGACUGCGUUUCAGUGCUGUCCCACUGCUCCUGCACACCCCACGCCUGCGACCCUACCCACCACGGACAGGCGCCUGCGAGCUGGAAGCCAGUUCUCUGCGUCCUGAGCCUGGCAGCUGCAUCUGAACACUCGGAGCCUGGCGAUGGCUUCCAGAAACCCCUGCGCCGUGGGUCGCUUCAGUGAAGGGGCCUGUACUUCGGCGACCCAGACUCCGGGCUGAGAGGCCUCCUAAUCCAACCAGGAGGACCAGGAGAGGCCCCAAAGGGGACACAGGGCAGUGACCGCCAGGCUUGGAGAGGAGCCGCUCCUGGCAAAGCCAGCGCCCGAUUUCUGAACGCCGCCUCCGUUCGGGACUACACUUCCCAGGGGCUAUUGCGGCGGAGGACACGCCCACUUCCGGAAAGGACCCAAAGCCGGGCGAGUGCACGUCCCGCCGGUUGCUGAGGAGAAGGGAGGUCUGGGCGGGGCAGCGGCCGAGGCUGGACUGGGGCGCGGCGGGGGCGGUGUCCUGGUUCCUGUGUGGGCGGCGGGCGUGAGCGUGCGCGUGUGGCCUGGUGGCUGUGAGUGCCCAUACGUAGUGAGCGUGCGGUGCUGCGCUGAGGAGGGGCGAGCGCGCGCGGGGAUGGCGGCCCGGUGUGUGACUGUCCGGUGUGUGGCCGCGAAUCUGCGCCUGCGUGCAUGUCCCGGCGGCGUGCGGAAGGCGGUGUGUGUUGGAAUGAGUGAAGCACUUUAAGUGGCCAAGAGCAGGAAACCCGGCCGGAGGAGGCUUACCCCGUUCUCCCCUGUAUCGACUGCGUAGAGCCCAGUGUGGGCAAAGUCCUAGAGCCCGGGGAAGUUGCCCGGGCGGGGCAGCCUCGGCUGAAGCAUUUCCUGUCAGCCCUAUCUGGAAGGGGCAGAGCCCAGGACAGGGCUCCAUGUCCACAGGACAGCGAGGAGCGAAGACCAUGGGGACUGAGUACACAGAUGAAGACACAGAAGCAUAGAGAGGAUAAGUAAUCACUAGCAAGUGGAAGAACCGGGAUUCAGAUCCAGAACAGGCUGACUCCAGAGUCACUGGCUGUCAUGUAGUCUCCUCAACUACUGCCUCAGGUAGGUUUCUUAGCCACUUUUGACAAUUAAAG